rnacentral:rRNA from 1 species
GACGAACGCUGGCGGCGUGCCUAAUACAUGCAAGUCGAACGCUGAAGGAGGAGCUUGCUUCUCUGGAUGAGUUGCGAACGGGUGAGUAACGCGUAGGUAACCUGCCUGGUAGCGGGGGAUAACUAUUGGAAACGAUAGCUAAUACCGCAUAAUAGUAGAUGUUGCAUGACAUUUGCUUAAAAGGUGCAAUUGCAUCACUACCAGAUGGACCUGCGUUGUAUUAGCUAGUUGGUGGGGUAACGGCUCACCAAGGCGACGAUACAUAGCCGACCUGAGAGGGUGAUCGGCCACACUGGGACUGAGACACGGCCCAGACUCCUACGGGAGGCAGCAGUAGGGAAUCUUCGGCAAUGGACGGAAGUCUGACCGAGCAACGCCGCGGGAGUGAAGAAGGUUUUCGGAUCGUAAAGCUCUGUUGUAAGAGAAGAACGAGUGUGAGAGUGGAAAGUUCACACUGUGACGGUAUCUUACCAGAAAGAGACGGCUAACUACGUG